rnacentral:tRNA from 1 species
UAUUAUUUUGGCAGAAUAGUGCAUUGGAUUUAGAAUCUAAAUAUGUAUAUUUAU